AACGAACGCUGGCGGCGUGCUUAACACAUGCAAGUCGAACGCGAACGGGUUCUUCGGGACCUUAGUAGAGUGGCGCACGGGUGAGUAACGCGUGAGUUAUCUACCUCGGCAUCUGGAAUAACUCACCGAAAGGUGUGCUAAUACCGGAUACGUUGAGUAAUCAAGAAAGGUGGCCUCUGAAUAUGCUACCGUGCUGAGAUGAGCUUGCGUACCAUUAGCUAGUUGGUGGGGUAAUGGACUACCAAGGCGACGAUGGUUAGCGGGUCUGAGAGGAUGAUCCGCCACACUGGAACUGGAACACGGACCAGACCCCUACGGGAGGCAGCAGUGAGGAAUAUUGCGCAAUGGGGGCAACCCUGACGCAGCGACGCCGCGUGGAUGAUGAAGGCCUUCGGGUCGUAAAAUCCUGUCAGGUGGAAAGAAAUGUAUAUGUGCUAAUACCAUGUAUACUUGACGGUACCACCGAAGGAAGCACCGGCUAACUCCGUGCCAGCCGCCGCGGUAAGAC
rnacentral:rRNA from 1 species